UACGUAGGGUGCAGGCGUUAAUCGGAAUUACUGGGCGUAAAGCGUGCGCAGGCGGCUUCCUAAGUCAGAUGUGAAAUCCCCGGGCUUAACCUGGGAACUGCGUUUGAAACUGGGAGGCUAGAGUGCGGCAGAGGGAGGUGGAAUUCCACGUGUAGCAGUGAACUGCGUAGAUAUGUGGAUGAACACCGAUGACGACGUCAGCCUCCUGGGCCAGCACUGACGCUCAUGCACGAAAGCGUGGGGAGCCAACAGG
rnacentral:rRNA from 1 species